GACGAACGCUGGCGGCGUGCUUAACACAUGCAAGUCGAACGAAGUGGCGAACGGGUGAGUAACGCGUAAUCAACCUGCCCUUCAGAGGGGGACAACAGUUGGAAACGACUGCUAAUACCGCAUACUGAAGGAGGGGUUUGCGUCGGAUUAGCUAGUUGGAGGGGUAACGGCCAACCAAGGCGAUGAUCAGUAGCCGGGCUGGAAGGAUGGACGGCCCAGUUUGGACUGAGAAACGGCCCAAGCCCCUACGGGAGGCAGCAGUGGGGAAUCUUCCGCAAUGGACGAAAGUCUGACGGAGGAACGCCGCGUGAGUGAUGACGGCCUUCGGGUUGUAAAUCUCUGUUAAUCGGGACGCGGUACCGGAAUAGAAAGCCACGGCUAACUACGUGCCAGCAGCCGCGGUAAUAC
rnacentral:rRNA from 1 species